AACAAACGCUGGCGGCGUGCCUAACACAUGCAAGUCGUACGAGAAAGUCGGCUUCGGCCGAUGAGUACAGUGGCGCACGGGUGAGUAGCGCGUGGGUAAUCUGCCCCCCGGUCAGGAAUAACCCGCCGAAAGGCGGGCUAAUACCCGAUAACACUGACGCUCCGCGGAGCGUCUUUCAAAGAAGGCCUCUGUUUACAAGCUUUCGCCGGAGGAUGAGCCCGCGUACCAUUAGCUAGUUGGCAGGGUAAUGGCCUACCAAGGCUACGAUGGUUAGCUGGUCUGAGAGGAUGGCCAGCCACACUGGAACUGAGACACGGUCCAGACUCCUACGGGAGGCAGCAGUGAGGAAUCUUGCGCAAUGGGGAAACCCUGACGCAGCAACGCCGCGUGAGUGAGGAAGGCCUUCGGGUCGUAAAGACUCUGUCAGAUGGGAAGAAAGUAGGAGUGGGGACGUAAGUAUACGCCCAAUCCUUUACGACCGGUUAACCAACGUACAACGGAAGGAAAGCCGAACCGGACCGUAAACCGUUCCC
rnacentral:rRNA from 1 species